rnacentral:lncRNA from 1 species
CUGAACACUAUGCAGAAAGGAGGAAUGUACAGCAGAGACAAAGAGCUUCUGCUCUGUAGCAUGCUGGCUUUUAGUGCGUCUGCAGACAUGGUCCCACCUGGCUCUGCCACUGUAUGCCUGCUUGGGGCUGCUGUCCCAAGCCAUGGGUGAGUCCCCUGCACAGCACAAAAACCCCAGCUGCAGCCCAGACCCUUUGAAAGCAGAACUGAAAGCUACCACUAUACACUGCAGCUGGGCACUGUGAAGAAUGAAGCACUCGGCCUGACUGGCAGAACCAGCACCAACAUGGAAGCAGAAACAUAAAGGCAAGCUAUGAGCGACAGGGCAGAAUUAUGACAAACAGGUAGGGUGAGUGCCCAGUUGAAGGGACACUUGCAUCUUCUCAAUCAGAAAGUACACAGUACUUGAGCAC